UUCAUAAAGACAAGUCAUUCAUUAGAUAUAUUUUCAGAAUCAGGUUCUAAAAGGUUCAGCUGCUGAGAUAAAGGUUUAGAUUUGGUAAAACGGGUUCAACAAAGACCUCCGAGCAGACAGGCUUGAUGUUUAUUGGACUCUGCUUGUAAAAGUGGUUCUAAAUGGAGAUAAUUUGUCAGUGAUAGUAUAAUUGGUGGCUGUAAAACUGGUAAACAUUAUGCAGUCUGAACAUUUCUGUAGGGAUCUGAAUAAACAGACUGUUCCUAAUUAUUUGGACUGCAGGAUCAUGAUUCCCUUAGGAAGAACCAGCUGUUCAGACAGGAAUGUCCUUCCAGAUGCUUCCAGAAGUAAUAACAGAGCCCGAUGGAGCCUUUUUCAUGAUAAACAAUAAGAAAAGAAGACAUAAAAGUCAGAUUUCAAACCGUGUGACAGACUGAUCCGUCCUCCUGGGAGAGCAGCAAAAACAAGAAAAGGAGGAGCAGCAGAGAGGAGACAGGAAAGAAAGAGGAAGAAGAUGAAGAGAAAUGAGAAGACAAAGAAGGCCUCCACUGACUGAGAGGCGAUCGAUAUUCAAUCACAGUGAGCUCUGUGAAGAUCAAUCCUCCUCUCAUUACUAUGACCACAGAUCAAUGAUUUCACACCCGGCUAAACCCACGUCUUUAACUAACUCUCUCCAUUAAACUCACU